rnacentral:rRNA from 1 species
GGAAUUUUGCGCAAUGGGCGAAAGCCUGACGCAGCAACGCCGCGUGACCGAAGAAGCCCUUCGGGGUGUAAAGGUCUGUCAGUGGGGACGAAAGAUGACGGUACCCACAGAGGAAGCAUCGGCUAACUCCGUGCCAGCAGCCGCGGUAAUACGGGGGAUGCAAGCGUUGUCCGGAAUCAUUGGGCGUAAAGAGUUCGUAGGUGGUUUGUUAAGUUAGGUGUUAAAUUCCGAGGCUCAACUUCGGUAUGGCACUUGAUACUGGCAGACUUGAAUGCGGUAGAGGUAAAGGGAAUUCCUGGUGUAGCGGUGAAAUGCGUAGAUAUCAGGAGGAACAUCGGUGGCGUAAGCGCUUUACUGGGCCGUAAUUGACGCUGAGGAACGAAAGCCGGGGUAGCAAAUG